AUUGAACGCUGGCGGCAGGCCUAACACAUGCAAGUCGAGCGGAUGAAGGGAGCUUGCUCCUGGAUUCAGCGGCGGACGGGUGAGUAAUGCCUAUGAAUCUGCCUGGUAGUGGGGGAUAACGUCCGUAAACGGGCGCCAAUACCGCAUACGUCCUGAGGGAGAAAGUGGGGGAUCUUCGGACCUCACGCUAUCAGAUGAGCCUAGGUCGGAUUAGCUAGUUGGUGGGGUAAAGGCCUACCAAGGCGACGAUCCGUAACUGGUCUAAGAGGAUGAUCAGUCACACGGGAACUGAGACACGGUCCAGACUCCUACGGGAGGCAGCAGUGGGGAAUAUUGGACAAUGGGCGAAAGCCUGAUCCAGCCAAGCCGCGUGUGUGAAGAAGGUCUUCGGAUUGUAAAGCACUUUGAGUUGGGAGGAAGGGCAGUAAGUUAAUACCUUGCUGUUUUGACGUUACCAACAGAAUAAGCACCGGCUAACUUCGUG
rnacentral:rRNA from 1 species